CAAAGAUUGCAUGGCUGCUGUUGGUCUAAGGACCUUUUCUUGCCUGGUCAGAGUUCUCAGACAGUGCCCUGCAAGCUCAGGAAAUUGCUGCAGGUUUGUGGUGGUGACACUGAUGGGCCACAAUUUGCACUGGCCCCCCGCUGCACGGCUCCUGCGG